rnacentral:rRNA from 1 species
GGGGAAUAUUGGACAAUGGGCGAAAGCCUGAUCCAGCCAUGCCGCGUGAGUGAUGAAGGCCCUAGGGUUGUAAAGCUCUUUCAGUGGGGAAGAUAAUGACGGUACCCACAGAAGAAGCCCCGGCUAACUUCGUGCCAGCAGCCGCGGUAAUACGAAGGGGGCUAGCGUUGUUCGGAUUUACUGGGCGUAAAGCGCACGUAGGCGGAUUGUUAAGUCAGAGGUGAAAUCCCGGGGCUCAACCCCGGAACUGCCUUUGAUACUGGCAAUCUCGAGUCCGGAAGAGGUGAGUGGAAUUCCGAGUGUAGAGGUGAAAUUCGUAGAUAUUCGGAGGAACACCAGUGGCGAAGGCGGCUCACUGGUCCGGUACUGACGCUGAGGUGCGAAAGCGUGGGGAGCAAAC